ACCAUUUUGCUCUCUGCCUUCCCCUCACCGCGACACCGCGCUCUCCCCCACCCCAACCACAGCCUCCCGGCUUUCCUCCCCCGACUACGGCUCGCACCCCACCCCACCUCCAGUUCGGGCUCUCCUAGGCUUAGGAGCCUGCCGGAGAAAAGGAACCUAAAUCUACUGCUACACAGAGAAGCGGAGCCUCCAUCUUGCGCUGCUCCGCGUUCUCCAUUUUGGGCCACCCAUGGGGGGGGGGGGUCUCCGUAGAGGCCCCGAGGGAGAGUUGGGCGAGGGAAGGAAGAGAAAAUCUUCAGCGAGGGUAGUCGAAAAGAAGAGCCCUGCGGUAGAAAGCCACUCUAGGAGUAGGAGUGUAUUGGACCUUUGACCGCCAAGAGCUCUUUACUCGGGGGAGAAAAACUCGAGGAGGGCCUAUCCCCUCCAAAGCGCCGCUUUUUCCUUGGACAGGAAGAAGUGACCUAUUGCAGUGUCUCCAUUGCUGUUAUAGAAGUUCGUAGAUUCAUAAAAUAGUGUUUGCUUAAGAA
rnacentral:lncRNA from 1 species